rnacentral:rRNA from 1 species
GGACUACAGGGGUUUCUAAUCCUUAUCGCUACCCCAGGCUUCGUUCCUCAACGUCAGUUUAAACAUAGAAUAGCGCCUUCGCUGUUACCCGUCUCACUGGUAUCAAAAAAUGUUGACUUUCCUCCAGUAAUUCGACAUUCUUACAUAAAACUCUAGAAAAUUAGUCCCUUACUUUGGCUUGAUAAUCCGUCUAGGUACCCUUUAUACCUAUUAAAGAUGAAUAACACUAGUCUUCUGCGUGUUACCGCGGCUGCUGGCAC